UACAGAGGGUGCGAGCGUUAAUCGGAAUUACUGGGCGUAAAGCGCGCGUAGGCGGCUUUGCAAGUCGGGUGUGAAAUCCCCAGGCUUAACCUGGGAACUGCAUUCGAGACUGCAUUGCUAGAGUAUGGGAGAGGGAAGUGGAAUUUCCGGUGUAGCGGUGAAAUGCGUAGAUAUCGGAAGGAACACCUGCGGCGAAGGCGGGUUGCUGGGCUGACACUGACGCUGAUGCGCGAAAGCCAGGGGAGCGAACGGG
rnacentral:rRNA from 1 species